AGUAUUACUACUUACUACUACUACUAAUAGUAAUAGUAGUAGUAGUAAGUAGUAAUACU
rnacentral:precursor_RNA from 1 species